GCAGGGAAUAUUGCACAAUGGGCGAAAGCCUGAUGCAGCGACGCCGCGUGAGGGAUGAAGGCCUCCGGGUCGUAAACCUCUUUCAGGAGGGAAGAAGCGCAAGUGACGGUACCUCCAGAAGAAGCCCCGGCCAACUACGUGCCAGCAGCCGCGGUAAUACGUAGGGGGCGAGCGUUGUCCGGAUUCAUUGGGCGUAAAGAGCUCGUAGGCGGCUCAGUAAGUCGGCCGUGAAAUCCCGGAGCUCAACUCCGGGAGGCCGGUCGAUACUGCUGUGGCUAGGGUCCGGUAGAGGAGAGUGGAAUUCCCGGUGUAGCGGUGAAAUGCGCAGAUAUCGGGAGGAACACCCGUAGCGAAGGCGGCUCUCUGGGCCGGUACCGACGCUGAGGAGCGAAAGCUAGGGGAGCAAACAGGAUUAGAUACCCCGGUAGUCC
rnacentral:rRNA from 1 species